UGCUGUGGGUGUCCCUGCCUGCUGGGUGGGCUUUGGAUCCAUGUCACAGCCUUGUCUCUGGUCCUGUCUGCAGCUCCCUCUUCUGCUCCUGGCUGGACCCUGGGCUGGUUUUGUUCCUUGCUGUGCCAGCUGAGGUGCUGCCUGCUGAUGGACAAGGUGAAAUGGAUCAGGAUCGAAAGCUGUCCAUGUCUGCUUUUCGCUGCAAGACAACGGUGUGUUGGUCUCUGAGGAGUUUUCUGUUUUUCAAUGAUGGAAAGCUGAAAAUGGUAAGAUUUUCCAGUUUGAGUGGGCUUUUGUGUUGUCUCACGGACUGUUUGACCCACCUCUUCCUUGAAGUACAGCACCAAAAUCUGACCACAAGGUGCCAGCUGAUACCUUCCCAGCACCCACCAGAGUGGAGGAUUUGUUGUGCUUUGUGCAUCUCACAGAGGGUGGCUCUGAACACAAACUGGAGGCAUUGAUCUGCAGCAGUGUGGGUGCUGGAGAAGCGUGGAGCCCGCCAGUGCCUCUCUGGGACCAAGGGACGGAUAAAUACUCCGCGUUAAUAAGAGCCAAGGAGAAAUAAAACAGCAGCUUCCAGCAUCUCGAUAGCUUAGCGUGAGCCAAAAGCGUUUCCCGUCCUGUGGGUGUUCCAGCGUUCCCCCCGUGGGCGGCGCCGAGCUGCGGCGGGGGAUGUGACACCCCACAGCACCACCGCCGCCAUGGAGCCUGCGUGAGGAAGGACUGGGCUGAUUUGUUCUCCCUGAGUUUGAGAUGAAACAGAUAAGACAUUUCUAAAAUGAAAAUGUGAGAGCAAUUACACUGUCAUUUUCCUUCUCCACCUUCACUGGAGAGAGGCUUGGAAUCAAGAUACAACUCUCACUAAAUCCUCGUGCUGUAACGUUUGGGCAAGGCAAAGGAUUCUUCUCUCAACUGUUUCGUACCAAGGCCAGACCUGCAGAUAUUAAAUAGGAUAUUUGAUAUCAUUAAGAUGACCUGCACAACUAUAUGGUACUGGGGAAAAGAAGUAUUAAUGAAGAGGUAACUUCCAGGUCUGGGUCACCGCUCCAUACACAAAAAUAUAAUACUGAAAUUAAAGAGGAGAAUAAACAUGCUCAGCAGCUAUAUGAUUCUGUUUACUCUCAGCUACACAGUGUGCCCAAACUGUUGAUUCUUCAGCACUGAGCCUGAUAUCAGUCAAUUAUUUUGAUGUUGGCAGGAACCAUCAGCAGCUCUUAUAGCCAUUUCUAGCAUUGUAGUAUGUAAACUGUGGAGUAAAUAAAUCAAACAAUACGAAAAACUUACAAA